CCUUCAAUAGUGCAACUUUUAAAUAAUCCCAUUUUUCUGGGUUCAUUCCUGUAUUCCGUUCCAGGAAUUCCGAUUCUCUUGGAUUCCUUUAAAUGUUUGUUUUAUGUUGCCACACCCGUUCCUUUUCCAUGAUCCUUUUGUUUCAGUUGGUUCCUGCAGGCAGUUGCUACAAGUCCUCUGCCCAUUUCUUACAGGUAAGUGCUGUGUGUGUUUUAUUAUUGUUUAUUUAGUCAUGCAUAUCUAGGCAGAUAGGUCCCACCUUAAUUGGAGUACUUUGACGCAGUGGUGGGCUGCAUACAUCUUGGCCAUUUAUGUAUGUUGAAAUCUCCAAUGUUUUACAUAUAGUAUUUAGUUAAGUCUCCUUUUUUUGCCGUGUAUCUCGUCCUGUAUUCCCAGUUCAUGUACAGUCUUGUUCUGCCCUGUUCAUUCUUUCCUCAUGUCUUGUGUACAUGUUCUGGGUUCUGCUUUCUGUCCUGCUCCGGUUCUGGGUUCUCCUAGUUUUGUCUUGUUUGGUGUCUAGUCUUGCCUUGUUUCUGUACUGGAUACAUAUCUGCUGGAAAGCCUCCCUAUUCAGAUCCUGGGAGGUCUGCUUAUUGUCAUCUGGUACCUGGGUUCUGCAGUAGCUGCAUCGGGGCCCUGCACAAACGCUGGUGCUCAACACUAGGGGGCGUGUGGUUACCCUGCACCUGGCCCUAAUUAUCCAUUUCCACAUAGUGACUCCUAAUAUCAAGAUCAGGCAUACUGGGUCCCGGUCACCGGACCACCACCCCUGACAGUUACAGGAUUGUGUUCCUAACCCUAUAGCGAUCCUUUAAAUGCCUAAUAUGUCAAGGAUCUAAACUAAUGUUUAGUUAUUAGUGCUAGCAACCCCUCCAACACUAUACCAAUCAUACUCCUUUCCCUCUACUUACACUGACCAUAUACCUACCCUAACUUUAUCCAUACAUGUAACUUUACACUAUAGCUAAUCCUAAAACAGCAUUAACACAAAUCUAUCAUUAAUUAACUCAUGGCUUACAUUAACCCUACAGUUAAUCCUAAGGAAACCCUCUGCUAAUAUCAGUAGAUGGGUUUCCUAGGUAAAACAGUAGGGAGUGGUAUGUUGCACCAAUCUACUGGCUUUUCCAGUAUUACAGGAACAUAUUCCUGUAAUAGUGAAUGAAGUAUGAUUUCUCAUCCGAUCACACUGAUCUGUGCUGGGCAUCUGACAAAGCCCAGCACCAAUUACAACUGGCUUGGGGACAUACAUCCUGGGACUCUAUCCUAAGCAGCUCACAGCCCUAGAAUCACCACAGCUAAGCGCGAUCGCUCAGUCACUGUGUUCUGAUUGGAUAUAAAGGGCUUUUUGCAGUGCUGAAUGGGGAGCCCAGGUAUCCACUGAUAUAGGGGUCUCCUGAUGUGAGCAAAACUUUAACCCUGUUUACACUGCAUUGCUAUAAGACUGAUUAAUGUGAAUAAAGUCUUUAAUCCAAUGUCAAAGGCAGCAUAGUACCUUCCUCUGUGCCUCCCAAG